UUUGCUGCACAAGGUGAAUUCUCUUUUACUGUUUAAACGAUGGCACUGCGAUAUCUUUGAUCUUUUUUCUUCCUCAGGGAAGUGGGUGAUGGAAAUAUCGGUUCUUUGUUAUUGGAAGUUAAACUGCCUUUGGCUAAGCCCUGGGGUGACCCUGCUACUGUGCAGUAGGGCACUCACAUCUCUGAUGUCUCAUCAUUAGGUCUUAAUUCUGACAUUAUACAUGCCCAUGCUCCUUUCUGCAGAGAUUCGAGAAAACCAGAAGCUUUAAAAAAUCAA
rnacentral:lncRNA from 1 species